AUAAUAUUAUAGAAAUGUGUAAAUAGCUUAUCUGAUGAUAUUCACCUUUUAUUUAACCAUUUAAUCUCUACUCACUGUCUAUAUAGUACUUGGAGUGUGUUGUAUAGUUAUUAUUUAAUCAAACAUUACUCACCAGAUGAAAUUAUUAUUACUAAUUGUUUAUUACACUUUAUAUUUAUAUUUUUACAUUAACACGUUGUUUACAUUAUACAUCGUAUAUUAUUGUUUAUGAUGAUGAUCUGUAAUAUAUUUUAAAACACAGAAUACUACAUUCCCUCCUUCCUUUAGAUGAAAGGAAUCAUGUCUUUAUAUCUUGAUGAUGGCUUGACGACUCUUCCACUCCUGGUGAUCACGGGUUCCUUGGUAGUCGGCAAGGGUGGAGAAACCUCUGGUGGCAACUGGUGAAGAGCCUCGGCAUCAAGUCUAUCUGAAACAACUGGGUUAAAUGUAGACCCUGUUCUACUUGAACUUGGUCGGUUUAAAGAAGUGUCCUUGUCUUGGUUUGAGGAAUUAUCAUCUGGUAUUUGUACAUCAGAAGAGUUGAGGUGUUCAAUUCUUGUCGAAUCUGAACUAAGAUUUUCCUGGCUCUCUUCUGGAAUCAAGUCAGAAAUGCCUUGAUUGGUCUCUUGAGUAGGAACAUGUUUCAAAUGUUUAGCAUUUCUAUGAAUUAUUUUCCCAUUUUUAGUGUUGACUAAUUUAAAAGAAUUUAUUGAAGUGAUUUCAAGAAUGACAGGAUGUUCUGAUCUGAAAUUUGAAUCAAGUUUUCCAUUAUUUGGAUUUGCCACAUAAACUAAAUUUCCAAUUUCAAAAUUAUGAGGACUAGCUUUCCGAAUUAUAUCAUUAUAUGUUUUCAUUUUUUCUUUGUAGACCAUAUUGAAUUCUUUGAUGUUGGAUUCAUCUUCUUCUGCAUCAUUAACAAGUGAGCUUAAUUUAGUUUUGAUUUCUCUUGAAAAUAAUAGGAAUGCUGGAGUCUUUCCUGCAGAUCUGUUUGGAGUAGUUCGGUAAGACAUUAAAAUUCUGGAUAAAUCUUCUUUCCAAUCUUUCCCUUCUUCAGAACUUGAAUUAAAUUGUUUCUUUAGAAAUCUAUGGAAUCUUUCUAUCUUCCCAUUACUUUUUGGGUAAUAGGGUGAGGCUUUGAUGUGCUUGAUUCCACAUUCUUUUAAAAAUCUUUCCAUUGAUGUACUUACAAACUGUAAGCCAUUAUCUGUUGCAACUUCAUGUGGAUAACCAUGUCUUGCAAAAAUCUCCAUCAAUUUUUUAAUAAUUGUCUUGCUGGAAAUGUCUUCUAUUAUCAUUGCUUCAGGAUAUGAAGAAUAGUAGUCGAUCACUGUUAAAACAUAAUGAUGGCCAAUUGGACCAACUAUGUCAAUUCCAAGUUUCAUCCAAGGUUUUGAUGGUAACGGAACUAUUUGCAAUGGUUGAUCAUUUAUCAAUGGUUGAUUCCUUACACAAAUUGGACAGUUUCUAAUCAAAUUUUCAAUGUCAAAGUCCAUGUUUAUCCAAAAAUAUUUUUCUCUUAACAGUUGUUUGGUUCUUGUCAUUCCUUGAUGUGUUUCAUGUGCAAUUCUCAAGACUCUCUUUAUUAGUUUUGAAGGUAGCAAAAUUCUACUUCCUUUUAAGAUAAGAUUAUCAAAAAUUGAGAGUUCAUCUUUAAACUUAUAAAAACAUUUGAAUUCUUCAUUCAAAGGAUAUGGCCAAACUCCCUUUUGAACCAUAUCUUUCAGUUUUUGAAACAAAGGAUCUUGCUCUGUACAAACUUUUAUCUCUUUCAAAGACAGUGCUUGAAGCUCUUCAGAAGUGAUGGAUAAGACUUUAUGAACAUAGUCCUCCAGCCAUUUUUCAUCACUUGUGUUAGAAAGAGGUUGUCUUGAAAAUAUAUCUGCAAUAUUUUGCUUUCCUUGAAUGAAUUCAAUUUCAAAGUCAUAUGGUUGGAAUUCUUGGAGGCAAAACAGCUCCAUUUUUAGGAUUCAGCAUAUAGAUUAGAGGUUUGUGAUCUGUUUUUAACACAAAUUUCCUUCCCCAAAUAUAGGUGUUAAAAUGUUCAAUUGCCCAUACACAUCCCAAUGUCUCUUUUUCUAUUUGUGAAUAUCUUUUUUUCAGUAUCAGUUAAGGAUCUGCUGGCAUAUGCAAUGGGUCUUUUAAUGCCAUUUUGUUGUGUUUGUAUUAAUACUGCUCCAAGACCAAUAUGGCUUGCAUCUGUGAUUAAUUCAGUUGGUGAGUUCAAGUUGUAAUAUGCCAAGCAUGGCUCUUUUGUUAGUGACUCUUUAAGAUCCUGAAAUGCUUUAUUUGUUUUCAAAUCCCAAUUCCACCUAACAUUUUUUCUAGUCAAAUUAUUUAGAGGUUCUGCCAAUUUAGAAAAAUUAGGUAUGAAUUUUCUUAAAAACCCACAAGUUCCUAAGAAUGACCUUAACAUCUCAAUAUUUUUUGGUAUUGGAAAAUUUAAGACUGCUUCUAUUUUCCUAUUAUCAGGUUUAAUACCUUCACUACUAACAAUGUGACCUAAAAUAUCCAAUUCUUCCAUUGCAAAUUUGCACUUAUUCCUGUUGAGCCUAAUGCCUACUUUAUCAAAUCUUUGUAAGACUUUUCUAAGCCUUUCUUCUAGUUCUUGUCUAUCUUUGGCGUAAACUACGACAUCGUCCAAGUAACAAAUUACACCUUUCAAAUCAAGCAAAAUUGAAUCCAUUCCUUUCUGAUAUGCCUCUGGAGCACUUGAUAGACCAAAAGGAACUUUACAAAAUCUGUAACAACCACGGUGCGUGAUGAAAGUUGUAAGGGGUCUUGAUUGAGGGUCUAAGUCAACCUGCCAAAACCCUUUUUUUGCAUCCAGCUUUGCAAAUACUUUAGCACCUUUAAGGGCAUGUAACAUAUUGUCAAUUGUAGGAAUUGGAUGUCUUUCUCUCAAUAUUGCUUUAUUCACUUCCCGAAGGUCUAUGCAUAGUCUAAUUUCCUCACUGUCCCUUUUUGGAACAACUAUUAUGUUAGAAACCCAUUCAGAACCUUGAUGCACUUCUUCAAUGAUUCCAUUCUCUAGCAUCUUAUCAAGCUCUUGAUUUACUGCUUCUACCAUUGCAUAAGGUAUACGACGGCAUCUCUGGGCAAUGGGCCUAUAGUUGUCUUUCAAUGUCACUUUAUGACUAUAGCCUUUUAUAGUUCCAAGUCCAUGGAAAAGAUGUUCAUGUUCUUGAACAAGAGUUUCUAUAUUAGUAGACAUUGAUUCAUUUACAUGAUUUACCCUUUUAAUUAUACCUAGUUCAAAACUAGCCUUGCCUCCCAACAAAGAUUCAACUUUUUUAUCAAUCACAUAAAUUUCUUCUGAAACUGAAUUUUUUUUCCAAGAAAUCACAGCAUUGAAAUAACCAUAACAUGGAAGAGGUCUAUCUUGACCAUAGGCAAAAAAGGUUCGGGUGGUGUCAUGUAAUUUUGGCAUAAUUUUAUGGCCAUAUAAUUCAAGCAUCUUAUUAUAGCUUAUGAAAGUUCUAUCACUCCCUGUAUCAAUUAUCAUAUUUAUUUCACUACCAUCUAUUUGCACUUUUUCUUUAUUUUCAGCACCUGUAUAGUAGGUAUAUUCAUCUGAACUUUCACCUACUUCAGUCUUAUUUUCUUCUUGUAUGGUCUUAACUUUAGUUUGAUUGAAACUUUUGUGGUUUCUAUUAUUAUUUUGAUUUGGGCGGUUCCUGCAAGCUCUAAAAAGAUGUCCUAAUUUAUUGCAAAAUGAACAAGUCAUUUUUUUAGCACCACAUUCUUGUGCUGAAUGUGUAUCUAAUCCACAGCGAUAACAUUUAGGCUUUGAGGCACCUGAAAAUGAUGGGGUACCUUGAUUAGUGAAUCUACCUUUGUUGAAAUUAUUAGCAUUAUAGAGCUUUUUAGGUUUAUUUUGAACUCUAUUUAGUGUUUGAUCAUUUUGAGGUUCAAGAAGUCUAAUUUCUUUUCUAGAAAUUUCUAACAUUCUAGCAAUAUCAAUGGUUUUUGACAGUGUCAAAUUUUCUUGUUGCAACAAUUUUUCUUUAAGUUUUUUGUUGUUACAUUUUUCAAUUAUUUGGUCUCUUAUCAUAUCAGCUUCUAAAUUCCCAAAUUCACAAGAUUUAGAAAGCUCUCUUAAAGAAAUUAGGUAGUUGUCGAUCGAUUCAUCAUCUUUCUGGACUCUUUGUCUAAAUUUAAAUCUCUCAGUGACCACAUUUUUAUGAGGUGUGAAAUAUUUAUCUAAAGCCAUUUUAGUUUGUUCAUAAUUUUCCUUUUCAUCUGGCAAGUUGAAAAAUAUACGUUGUACAUUUGGCCCUAAACAAUGCAAUAGAGUUGCUCUCUUAAUUUCAUCCGAUUUUUUUGAAAUUCCAGAUGCUAUUUCAAAAAUGGCAUAGGAUUCCAUCCAUUGCUUAUAUUCCGCAAAUAAAUUGCUUGCAUUCAUAUUCAUGGGUAAAGGUGGCGUCAGGUUGGCUGCCAUACUUGUUUUUUUUUUUUUUAGGGCUACAGUUAUAUUUUCAAAUUCUCGUCGCCAAUUUAUGUUGUAUAGUUAUUAUUUAAUUAAACAUUACUCACCAGAUGAAAUUAUUAUUACUAAUUGUUUAUUACACUUUAUAUUUAUAUUUUUACAUUAACACGUUGUUUACAUUAUACAUCGUAUAUUAUUGUUUAUGAUGGUGAUCUGUAAUAUAUUUUAAAACACAGAAUACUACAGAGUGAAUUUUUAUUUUGUACGAUCUCAAUAAAAAUUAAUCAACAUUUAAAAAAUAAAACAUACUAUUUUUAUAUGAUUUUUAAUUAUUAUAUUUAUUAUUUCAAAGUCUAUAGAUUAUAUUAAAAUGAAAAUUGUAUUUUUUGAAACGAUUUUUUAUUUGAAAAAAUAGUACAAAUGUGAUAUUGUACUGCGAUAAGGUGCAUAAAUUAUAAAAAAGGCAUCUCCUUAUCGUGUAACUGAAAGUUGCUGAUGGCUUACGCCAUCUAUCGGAAUAAAUAUAAACUAUUCUCGUUGAUUUUUAGUUGAUAUUUAUUCCGAUAGAUGGCGCAAGCCAUCAGCAACUUUCAGUUGCACGAUAAGGAGAUGCCUUUUUAUGAUUUUUUAUUUAUUAUUAUUUUUUUAUAAACAGCUUUAUUUUCAUAUGGCCCAGUGGACCAUGCAACUCUGGAAUUGUCAAAGUGUUAUAUUGACGUCUAUUUUGACGGGAGAGGUGACCUUUAUAGAUGAAUGUCCUCCUGGAAAAAUUUCCAUCUAUAUUUUAGCCAUAGAUUUGGCCUAGCUACUUUACAGCUAAACACCUCUUUGGUAGAUUGUGAGGAUUCCAUUAGAUACCGUGUGGAUCUCAUGGAAUAAAGUCCGCCUUAGACUGACGAGGGCCAUUAGCCCGAAACCACCUCUAGGUGGACGUUUCUUAGUUUGCCAAAGCUGGUGUUGUGUCUUUGUCAUCGACCUGAGGCCGCUAGUUUGCGGCGAAGGUCAAUAGAUGGCGUCUAGUUUUGACGUCUAUUUUGACGGAAGAGGCGACCUUUAUAUUUAUAGAUUUUUCAAGUCAUAGAAACAUAAAGCACGAACGUUUAUUUGAAAUCCAAAUUAAACAAACUUCUUGUGUUAUUACUGCAUGAAAAUAUUGGGAGGGCUUGGCUCAUCAGUGGGUAAACCUCCCAGGGGUUUCACCAAAUUUGAUCAACCAGACCGCUAAAAGUGGAAGGUUACCCACUGAUCAGGCAAGCCCUUCCAAUAUUUUCAUACAGUAAGUACAGCAGAAGUUUGUUUAAUUAUAAUUUAAAAGAAACUGUUAUGUACUCUUCUACCUAAUCUAUAUAUAUAUAUAUAAAAUUGAAUGUCUGUCUGUGUGUACUCUAUAGAUUCAAAACCCAUACAUCCAAUCGCCGUGAAAAUUUGGGAUAUUAUUAGGUAUAUCCCCGGGAAGGUUUUUGAAAAAUAAUUUCUUGAAUAUCUUGAAUAUCCUUAGAGUUAUUUGCAGAUUUGUAGAUUUAACUCGCAAGCAGCGCCACCAUUGCGACGAUGAUAACAAGUUUUUUAAUCUAUAAGUUUUAUUAUCACUAAGUUUAUUAUCUUAAAGAUUAUUUAUCAAAAGUAAGAUUAUCUCAGGAUGACACGGCAAUUUAUUUGAGACAAGAAUAAUGAUACAAUUCAAGGCGAAGAUACUAUUCCUUUAACUUCAAUUACCGAGGGAACCAAUUAAUAUUGAUUUUAUUCAACUUAUCGAGUAUUUUUCAAGGGACCGGGAAAAAAUGUUCACUAGAUAAAACGAUGAUUUUGUAAUGUAGAAAAUUAGGAAAGACAAAAUUCAGGAUGACACGGCACACAGGGACCGGGAAAAAAUGUUCACUUUAUCGAGAGAUUCAAAUUUACGAGUUUCAAAUUAUCAAAAUAUAUCUUUUUUAAAAAUAAGUUUAUAGAGAAUUGUUUUAACAAAUGUUCGUUAGACAAACCUUUACUCGGGUAAAACCUCGGGCGAAGCCGGGUACAUCCGCUAGUAUUCAAUAAACUUAGGUAGUGUAGCUUCUAUAUAUAUAUAUGUAAUAAUGUGUUGAGAUCCUGUCGACUCUCUGUAAUAUUGUGUUGGGAUCCUUAUCUGUGAUUAGGGAUCCUGUCGACUAGCUGUAAUAAUGCGUUGAGGUUUGGUAAGCCUGUUGUAGAACCUCGUCGACUCUCGCUAUAAGUUGUGGCAACCGAGGGUCAUACCUGUAGUAACCGCGAGGGACAGUCAGGGGUGGAGAGUUUUCUAGUACCUCGCUGCACCUUGUAGGACCUUUAACAGUUCUCCCAAAGUACAGGCAGUCGUGGUCGAGGCAGAGUGGAAAACUGGGGAAUGUCCACACACAAAAAACGAAGAGACACAGUUGAAAGAAAGUUCCUUGAAUAGAUAAAAAGCGAGCCAAGAGCAAAGAUGGAGAUCGAGAAGUUUUCUUACUGUUUUACAUCGUCGAUGAGUUGGUGACAACCGGCGACACGCAGAUGGGGAACUUACUGGAACUCAACUGAACUGGCUGUUGCUACGCGGCCUUUUUAUACGACCGCUCUGACUAAGAGAAUUGGGUCAUGCACGUGUCGAUGGACACCGGACACUGGCGACAGACUGUCGGGGUCCAAUCUAUCUUUAGAAGUCACUUGUGAUUCUCUCUUUGGCUCUUAACUUAGCUUUUAAUCUAUUAUAUUUUAUUUAUUCAUCCUCAGUACAUUACAUCUGGAGAUACAAGGACACACGUCAAUUAUGCGUAUAAUUAGUUGUAGUUUAUAAUUAGUUCUAUAUACAACAUGACAAUCUUGUUAUACGUAUUACAUAAUAUAGGGUUAUUGGUUUAAAUUAUCAUAGAUGGGCCCCGUGAGUGAAAGGGUUUAUCCGGGUUUAAGCGGGUAAAGCCUCUCUAACACAGGUAAGUAAUUAAAAUUUCUUUAAUUAAUUAAAACUGUGAGGGAAAAGGGCUAUAUAACAAGAUGUUUAUUUGGCUAUAUCUGAAAAUUAUAAAAAUAAAACUUAUGUUUAAUUUAAAAGUUAUGAUAUUCAUUAUAAAAGAGAACUGUAGGUAAAACCUUUGUUUGCUAAAAAAAAUAAUGAUGAUGUUCUAAGAGAUUGUUGGCGGGCGUUGGAAAGGGUUAGGGGUUGAAGAAUAUGCAAUUGUAAGUGUUGCACAGACAAUCAAAUACUUAGGUCCAGGUGCAAAGCGAGGAUAUAGACUUGUGCGUCUUCCUAGGCAAUGUUUCACCUGUGAUCCUGUAUAAGGUUACAGUGCUUUGUCACAAUUGUAGGGUUAUUGGUUGAAAAGAUGUUGAAGAAAAGAAUUAAUAUGCUUGAAAGGGGUGGUAGAGCCAUGCGAUAAGUAGAAUUGUUGUAGCGACAGUAGGGUCUGACUUGACUUGAAAUCAAAGGUUGAUUGUGGUCCGCUAGAGCUGAAAAAAAUUGAAAAUUGAAAAAUGUGAACGCUUUGUGCAUGCGUUGGUGAUGUGCUCUGCGGAUGAUUGAAAUAAACUUUUGAAACGUGUUCAGACCAAAAAGUCGAGACUUGUACUUCUGGGGAACGGUGUUUUCAAAGAGUUUGUUGAAUUACGAAAUCAAAAGAAAAAUUGUCAAGCAGUACUGUCGUUUCUCUACGUUGAUGUAAAGCAAUGGCGGAGAGAAAGAUAGUAGUGUAAAGUACACUGAAGUGGUUAGAGAAAUAGAUUGUUGUAAACGAUUGUUGUAUAUGCCCGAUAGUUGAUGAUAAACAAACAUUGUCAUAUAAUAAAGUAUUUAAACAAAAAUAUAGUGAAUAAAAAGAUAAAAAUGUGAUUGCGGAUAAAAAGUAUAAGUGGAUAAGAUCAAACAUGUACUAUAUGAAAGAUAUAAUAAUGAAUUAGUAAAAUAUAAUAAUGAGAAUUAGUAAUAUAUAAAAGAUAUAAUAAUGAAUUAAAAAUGAUUAUUGAAAGAAUUAACUGUUUUGCCAUUGUUAAAAUAAAGUUGUUAAAAUAAUGUUGGAAUAAAAAUUUGAUUAUAAUUGAAAAGUAAAAAAAAAAAAUAAAAAAAAAUAAUUAUUCAAGAUUUUAUACAAAAAAAAUAUAAUAUAAUUAAAGGUUAUUAAUGAUUAGAUAAACAAAUGGAGCAAAAAAUGUCUCUUUUGAAGAAAAGUUAAAGAAAACAAAAAAUAUUCGUUCCUGAAAAAAAAGAAAGGAACAUAUUCACACAAUGUCUAGGUGUAGGUCCAAGAUUAUUGGUGUCUUUAGUUUGACCUAUGGGGAGGCAAUGUGGCCCUAUGUCGCUUUGGUCCGGUCUGAGAAGUUGGUCUUUGCCAGAUCUUCCUGAUUAGAUUAUGUGAGACCAGACGGGGAGCGAUCUUGAUCCCUAAAAUUGGAUGGUAUUGACGAAGAUGAUUGUAAUAUAUAACAAUAAAGGGUUAACAUUAUAAAAGAUGGCGUUCUAGUUUAGAAAAAAUAUUCCAUACUGGGCGUGAAAAUAAUGUAAAAGUUGUAAAACACACGAUGAUAAUUGAAG